UACGUAGGGUGCGAGCGUUGUCCGGAAUUACUGGGCGUAAAGAGCUCGUAGGUGGUUUGUCGCGUUGUCCGUGAAAACUCACAACUCAAUUGUGGGCGUGCGGGCGAUACGGGCAGACUGGAGUACUGCAGGGGAGACUGGAAUUCCUGGUGUAGCGGUGGAAUGCGCAGAUAUCAGGAGGAACACCGGUGGCGAAGGCGGGUCUCUGGGCCGAUGACUGACGCUGAGGAGCGAAAGCGUGGGGAGCAAACAGG
rnacentral:rRNA from 1 species